CUUGGAAAAUAACCAUCAACAGCACAUGGUUGCUCCUGAGAAUGCUGAAAUACUGCAAGUCCAGGCAGACACUUCUGUAGAUGUAUCAGAAAGUGAAACAGAAGUGUCCCAUGAACCUCCUGACAAUACAGUUUCACCAGUAAACCAGCAAAAGUUGUCAAUGAGCAUGGUCGAGGUGCUAUUUAAUAAAUGCAGACGUG